rnacentral:rRNA from 1 species
GACGAACGCUGGCGGCGUGCUUAACACAUGCAAGUCGAACGGUAAGGCCCUUCGGGUACACGAGUGGCGAACGGGUGAGUAACACGUGGUGAUCUGCCCUGCACUUCGGGAUAAGCCUGGGAAACUGGGUCUAAUACCGGAUAGGACCAUGGACUUCACGGUUUGUGGUGGAAAGCUUUUGCGGUGUGGGAUGGGCCCGCGGCCUAUCAGCUUGUUGGUGGGGUAAUGGCCUACCAAGGCGACGACGGGUAGCCGGCCUGAGAGGGUGUCCGGCCACACUGGGACUGAGAUACGGCCCAGACUCCUACGGGAGGCAGCAGUGGGGAAUAUUGCACAAUGGGCGCAAGCCUGAUGCAGCGACGCCGCGUGAGGGAUGACGGCCUUCGGGUUGU